AUUUGAAAUCUGGCUUCGGCCCGAGUUGUAAUUUGCAGAGGAAGCUUUAGGCGCGGCACCUUCUGAGUCCCCUGGAACGGGGCGCCAUAGAGGGUGAGAGCCCCGUAUAGUUGGAUGCCUAGCCUGUGUAAAGCUCCUUCGACGAGUCGAGUAGUUUGGGAAUGCUGCUCAAAAUGGGAGGUAAAUUUCUUCUAAAGCUAAAUACCGGCCAGAGACCGAUAGCGCACAAGUAGAGUGAUCGAAAGAUGAAAAGCACUUUGAAAAGAGGGUUAAAUAGCACGUGAAAUUGUUGAAAGGGAAGCGCUUGUGACCAGACUUGCGCCGGGCAGAUCAUCCGGUGUUCUCACCGGUGCACUCUGCCCGGCUCAGGCCAGCAUCGGUUCUCGCGGGGGGAUAAAGGCCCUGGGAACGUAGCUCCUCCGGGAGUGUUAUAGCCCGGGGCGUAAUGCCCUCGCGGGGACCGAGGUUCGCGCAUCUGCAAGGAUGCUGGCGUAAUGGUCAUCAGCGACCCGUCUUGAAACACGGACCAAGGAGUCAAGGUUUUGCGCGAGUGUUUGGGUGUAAAACCCGCACGCGUAAUGAAAGUGAACGUAGGUGAGAGCUUCGGCGCAUCAUCGACCGAUCCUGAUGUUUUCGGAUGGAUUUGAGUAGGAGCGUUAAGCCUUGGACCCGAAAGAUGGUGAACUAUGCUUGGAUAGGGUGAAGCCAGAGGAAACUCUGGUGGAGGCUCGCAGCGGUUCUGACGUGCAAAUCGAUCGUCAAAUCUGAGCAUGGGGGCGAAAGACUAAUCGAACCAUCUAGUAGCUGGUUACCGCCGAAGU
rnacentral:rRNA from 1 species